rnacentral:tRNA from 1 species
GGUGCUAUAGAGUAGUCGUUAUCACUCGGGAUUUUGAUCUUGUUCUUGCGAUUUCCCGUGACUCAGGUUCGAACCCUGGUAGCACCU